rnacentral:rRNA from 1 species
GUAGGUGGCAAGCGUUGUCCGGAAUUAUUGGGCGUAAAGCGCGCGCAGGCGGUUCUUUAAGUCUGAUGUGAAAGCCCACGGCUCAACCGUGGAGAGUCAUUGGAAACUGGAGAACUUGAGUACAGAAGAGGAAAGCGGAAUUCCACGUGUAGCGGUGAAAUGCGUAGAGAUGUGGAGGAACACCAGUGGCGAAGGCGGCUUUCUGGUCUGUAACUGACGCUGAGGCGCGAAAGCGUGGGGAGCAAACAGGAUUAGAAACCCUGGUAGUCCACGCCGUAAACGAUGAGUGCUAAGUGUUAGGGGGUUUCCGCCCCCUUAGUGCUGCAGCUAACGCAUUAAGCACUCCGCCUGGGGAGUACGGCCGCAAGGCUG